rnacentral:rRNA from 1 species
GUAGGGAAUAUUGCACAAUGGAGGAAACUCUGAUGCAGCGACGCCGCGUGAGUGAUGAAGGCCUUCGGGUCGUAAAGCUCUGUCGCAGGGGAAUAACACAAUGAAGGUACACUGUAAGAAAGGAUCGGCUAACUUCGUGCCAGCAGCCGCGGUAAGACGAGGGAUCCUAGCGUUGUUCGGAAUCAUUGGGCGUAAAGCGGAUGUAGGUGGCUAUGUAAGUCAGAUGUGAAAGCCUGGGGCUCAACCCCAGAAGUGCAUUUGAUACUGCGUAGCUUGAGUGUCGGAGAGGUUACUAGAAUUGUUGGUGUAGUGGUGAAAUACGUAGAUAUCAACAGGAAUACCGGAGGCGAAGGCGGGUAACUGGCCGAACACUGACACUGAGAUCCGAAAGCGUGGGGAUCAAACAGGAUUAGAUACCCUAGUAGUCC